rnacentral:rRNA from 1 species
GGUUAAGCGACUAAGCGUACACGGUGGAUGCCCUGGCAGUCAGAGGCGAUGAAGGGCGUGCUAAUCUGCGAUAAGCGCCGGUAAGGUGAUAUGAACCGUUAUAACCGGCGAUACCCGAAUGGGGAAACCCAGUGUGAUUCGUCACACUAUCAUUAACUGAAUCCAUAGGUUAAUGAGGCGAACCGGGGGAACUGAAACAUCUAAGUACCCCGAGGAAAAGAAAUCAACCGAGAUUCCCCCAGUAGCGGCGAGCGAACGGGGAGGAGCCCAGAGCCUGAAUCAGCAUGUGUGUUAGUGGAAGCGUCUGGAAAGGCGCGCGAUACAGGGUGACAGCCCCGUACACAAAAGCGCAUGUGCUGUGAGCUCGAUGAGUAGGGCGGGACACGUGGUAUCCUGUCUGAAUAUGGGGGGACCAUCCUCCAAGGCUAAAUACUCCUGACUGACCGAUAGUGAACCAGUACCGUGAGGGAAAGGCGAAAAGAACCCCGGCGAGGGGAGUGAAAAAGAACCUGAAACCGUGUACGUACAAGCAGUGGGAGCACAGGUUUACCUGUGUGACUGCGUACCUUUUGUAUAAUGGGUCAGCGACUUAUAUUCUGUAGCAAGGUUAACCGAAUAGGGGAGCCGGAGGGAAACCGAGUCUUAAC